UUUAAUGGCAUCGCGCUCCUGGCGCAUUCAGCCAAACGAGUAAAACGGGGAAACGGAAUUAAAGGAUUACAAUAAGGGAUAACGGGUAAUUCGGAAUUUUGGAAAAGGAUCAGGAAAAGGUAAAUUAUAGUAAGUUAAAGUUUAAUGUUAUAACGUGAGAUAAAUAAAUAUAAUGAUUUAAAUAUAUAUGGAGAAGAAUCAUUAAUAUACAUGUGUUGUAAUAGAUGUAGGAAACGGAACUUUCAAAUCUGACAGCUGUCUUAAUAAUAUAGAACGGUCAUAUAGGUUACAUGCAAAGAAUAUAUGAUUAAGAUCAGCGGGAUCAGCUCCACAUGUACAUGCAGAACUGGCCACGCGAUUUAGUCGUUUCAGGUGUUCCGGUGUACAAACGUGACCCAAUUUCAUUCGAAUUAACAUACUAGUUGCAGGUUUUGGCAAAGAGAUUUUAGCAAACCAGGGAUUCCAAAGGACUCACCACUGUACACAGAGGAUUCCGGUGGUAACUUUAUUUUUUGAUAAAUAUUAGAUUGGGUGUGGAGAACACCAAUGCCAACACAACCAUUGUCUGACAUUUUAGAAGCGUCUGUGUAUAUAUGAUGCGCACCCAGGCCAUCUGUUCCAAUGAAUCCCAGGAAUUGUUGAUUUUGUUCAAUAUCAUUCUUGGAGAUACCAAUAUCGAGAAGAACCGGAGGAACAAGUGUUAGAGAAUCAUAUUCAUAUUGGAAAAUGGGAAGUGUUGAAGAGCUAACAGUGGGAGCUGAUAUAGAUUUAAGUUUUUGAAAGCUUUUGAUAAAACAAGGAGGACUCUUAUUUUUCCAAUAGUUGGAAGUAGUAAUUUGAAGCAAGAGGUUAGACAAGAUAGUCCAGAGUUGGUGGUUAGAGAAUUGGGAACAACGAAAAAUAAACCUAUCACAAAGAUAUUGGCGUCGUAAAUGAAGAGGAGGCUCAGAACACUCAACUUGCAUAGCAUUGAUAGGGCUUGAAUUCAUGGCACCACAAAUCAAUCUCAAUACUUUGGAUUGAAUACGAUCAAAUUUUUAGAAGCCAGCUACAUAUCCUGGCUCUAACAAAAAUGUCCCAUAAUCUAGAAUACUUCUGAUCAAGGCAUUGUACAUAAGUUUCAUGCAAAAAUGUGAACCCCACCAAACUCCUGAAACGCACCUGAGGAUACUAAUAUUUUUUUCACAUUUAGAAACUAUGUAAUCACAAUGUGGAAGACCUGUUAAUUUAUUAUCUAAAAUAACACCUAGGAACUUGGUUUUAUCUUUAAUGGAAAUGGAGUUGUUAUUAAAUUGCACAUUAAUCGGAGGAGGAAACAAUUUUCUAGUAAACAAAACUACAACACUUUUAUGCACUGAGAGUUCCAGACCAUUUGAAUCUAACCAUAACUUCAAUAAACCCAAAGAACAAGUGACAGAUCUACUGGCCUGUUCAAUAGAAAGGUUUGGCGAGUAUAAUAAUAAAUCAUCAGCAUAUUGCAAGACUUUAACAGUGUCAUUUAAGGAUGACUCUAAAUCAAAUGUGUAGAUAUUAUAUAACAAGGGACUUAAUACGGAUCCUUGUGGAAGCCCUCUCCACACUAAACGGGAAAUCCUAUUGUUGUCAUCUAUGAGAAGGCUAAUGGACCUUUCUGAUAAAAGGUUUAUUAUGAAAUUGCUUAACAUUAUCGGUAUAGCUAAUUUAUGAAGUUUUGCCUGUAGCACUGAGACUAAAAUAUUAUCAUAAGCGGCGCUUAUGUCAAGAAAAGCAGCUACUACAGUCUCAUUUAUAGAAAAUGCCAAUCGAAUAUCUGAAACUAAAAUGCCCAAGCUAUCAUAAGUAGACCUACCUUUUCGGAAUCCAAAUUGACUAUGAGAAAGUAAUUGGUUUUUUUCUACAAAAUAUUCUAAUCUGUUUUUAACUAAAUGUUCUGCUACUCUAACAAAUACUGAGGAAAGGGCAAUUGGACGAUAAGAAGAAACAUCUGACACUGGUUUGAAGGGCUUUAAAAUAGGAAUAACUAUUUGAGAUCUCCAAGAACCAGGGAUUUUACCAGACUGGAUGACAGAAUUUAUUAUAUUUAGAUAAUAAGAAAGAGUACCAUCACUGGCAUUUGCUAAAAAGGAAUAAGGAACUCCAUCUUCCCCAGGUGAAGUGUCUUUUAAACCACUUAAUACAGCUUUUUACUCCUCCAUUUUAAAAGGCCCAUUUAAAGUAUUAUAACAGCAAGAGUCAAAUGAAAAGGCAGCAGGGUGAAAUACAUAUUCUUCGGGCACGAAUGCAGGAGCUAAUCUGUCCAUAAACUGUGUAGCAAGGUUAGGAGGAAGGAUCUGUCUAGAGGAAUCAUUGAAAGCAUGUCUAAAUCUUUUAAUAUUAUUCCAUACUAUGGAUGGUUUUACACUAGGACUAAGAGACAAACAGAAUCGCUUCCGGCCUUCGAACUUUUUCUUUCGCAACAAUUUUUUAGUCUCACGAGCAACUUGCAUGUAUAUUUCAAAAUUUUCAUUUGUCAUAAAAUGACAAUAUUUUCCUUGCGGUUUCUGAUUGCUUGAGAGCAAUCAUCAUCCCACCAAGGCGGAGAAGGUAUUUUACCCGAUGCACUGUUUUUUACUGGGAAAAUUUCAUCAGCUGCUUCAGUCAUUGUCUCGGCUAAAGCAACAGAGCAAGUAACUACAUUACUAUCAUCUACGGCUGGUAAACCUAACAAUUUCUCCUCUACACGGGCUUUGAAAAGUUUCCAAUCAACAUGACUUAAAUUAUACUUAAGCCUAGGGUUAGGUUUUGGAGAUGGCGGAAUAGAAGAUGGAAAUGUAAUAAUGAUAGGGUAGAGAUCACUCCCAUAUGUUGACUCCAGAGUAUGCCAAGUGAGAGAUGACGCAAGAUCGACUGACGAAAUUGAUAAAUCAAUAGCGCUAAUUGACUCUGUUGGAGCUGUUCGGCGGGUUGGAGAGCCAUUGUUUAAAAUACAAAGAUUGUGUUCAUCUAAGAUAUGUAUGAGGCGAUCUCCAUUAUUAUUAGACGAUGAACUACCCCAAACCUGGUGAUGUGAAUUAAAAUCUCCUAAAAUUAAAACGGGCCUAGGAAGAGAAGAAAUUAUUUGUUCAAGCUCAACAAAAAUGGAUGACGAUGGAUGAGGAAUAUAUACAGAAAUGAUACAGAUGUUAUUUACAAUAGCAGCAACAAUUGAAAAAUCAUCGCUAUGGGAUGGAAGAUGAAAAGGUGAAAAUGAUAUGGAAUUCCUGACGAGUAGAGCUACUCCGCCCCAUCCGCCAGGACGGUCCUCUCUGAGACAUGAAUAUCCCGUAACUCUAAGAAGAGCUCCAGGCUUCAGCCAUGUCUCAGAGAGGGCAAAAACAAAUGGUUGAAAUUUGUUUAAUAAAUGAAUUAGAUCUUG